GAGGCUGAGAAGAAGAAGAAGAAAAAUCUCAAAAAGGAAAAACCCAAAGGGAAGAAACAGGGGAAAUGCCCCAGCGAUGAGGAUGAGGCCGAAGGCUCCGAGGAGGCUCCGGGCAGGAAGAACAAGUUCGGGGCCCUGAGGGACGAGGAUGAGGAAGAGGAGGAGGAAGGAGCCCGGAAGGGGAGCGAGAACGUG